rnacentral:rRNA from 1 species
CCUACGGGCUGCAGCAGUGGGGAAUAUUGGACAAUGGGGGAAACCCUGAUGCAGCCAUGCCGCGUGUGUGAAGAAGGCCUUCGGGUUGUAAAGCACUUUCAGUAGGGAGGAAGGCAGUGUCGUUAAUAGCGGCAUUGUUUGACGUUACCUACAGAAGAAGCACCGGCUAACUCCGUGCCAGCAGCCGCGGUAAUACGGAGGGUGCGAGCGUUAAUCGGAAUUACUGGGCGUAAAGCGCAUGCAGGCGGUCUGUUAAGCAAGAUGUGAAAGCCCGGGGCUCAACCUCGGAACAGCAUUUUGAACUGGCAGACUAGAGUCUUGUAGAGGGGGGUAGAAUUUCAGGUGUAGCGGUGAAAUGCGUAGAGAUCUGAAGGAAUACCGGUGGCGAAGGCGGCCCCCUGGACGAAGACUGACGCUCAGGUGCGAAAGCGUGGGGAGCAAACAGGAUUAGAUACCCCGUAGUC